UUCAUUACUCACUGACAGAGUGAUAAAAUAGAUAGAGAAUAGAGACACUGAGAGAGUGAAUGAGAGUGUGAAAGCAGUGAUGAUGAUGGAACAAGAUGAAGAAUCCGAAAUAAUGCACGUGUUUGUUGCUCAUGAAAUCGAUCUCGAAUACGAGUUUGACGCAGCACGUUUCUUCGAUUUCACUCGACCAGAGACUCCACAGGAAGCUCACCAAGCCGAGCUUUGGUUUCACAAUGCCGCAUCCUACCCUCCUUCUCCUUUUGUGACGAGGCUGCUGGUGAGAGAGGAUUUGGUGUUGGAUGAUGUUGAUGACUCACCAAAAUCAAACCAUUUGGAGGAAUGUACGAGUAAUGUGGAUGAUGAUAAACCUUGUGUUCCUUUGGAGAUGGAAUGUUCCGACAAUAAUAAUGAAGCACUUGGUGGGAAGAUCUCGGGCUUGCUGGCUGGAAUUUUACUAAGUGAUGGUAUGAGACCACUACAAGUACCUAAGGGACUUACCUUUGAUAGCAAGGCAAUCAGUGAGAGUUUGAAUUCUAAGGCUAAAUCUGCUGUGCCAAAGAGGUCAACAUUGAUGAAACCUACAGCUAGUCAGUUGGCUAAGCAAAAUCGUUGUGUUAAAAAUAAUGGUUCAAGAUUUCAGAAGCUACUAAAUCAGAACGAAAGCCAUUUAUCUAUCUCUUCUGUAUUAGAAAGUCAAGCUCCCAAGAGGCAAAAGUUAGAGGGUGGUCUCUUGCGCAAGGUUACUGAUGUGAAGCCGGAAACUAAUUUUGUCCACAAGACAUCGAAGAAGUCUGUCAAUGUUGACCAAAACUCUGCAUGUUCCAAGCUAAAGCUUACUAUUCCUAGAGAGCCUGACCUUAAAACAGCACAAAGAGCACGGAGGAUAAGACUCAAAGAUGAAGAGGCAGAGCACAUGACUGUGGCUGCCUCCAGAUUCAAAGCACGCCCGUUAAAUAGAAGGAUUCUUGAUGGUCCUUCAUUGCCACUUCCUAAACGGAGCACUCCCCGGCUGCCAGAAUUUCAGGAAUUCCACCUGAAGACUUCUGAGAGGGCCACGCAACACACAUCUGCACCAUCAUCUUCACUUCACUGCAACGAUUAUGAUAAGGGUUGGGACAAGCAUACUGCUGUUUCUGCGGUAGAACCUAGAAUUAAGGAUUUGAAAAGGCCUACUGCCAUGGGUGCACCCAAGUGUGAUGGAUUGGGUUUUACUCAUAUUUUUAAAGCUCAGCCUCUUAAUAAAAAGAUACUUUCUAGUAAAGGUGAUGUUGGUGUUGUCCGGAGCAUCAAGCAGGAUAUAACAGUGCCAAUGGAGUUUGAUUUAAACACCGAAAAGGUGGCUCAACAUAACCCUCCAAUUGAACUCUUCAGCAAGUUGUCUCUGACAUCUGAAGCCCAGCUAAAUGAUGGAGCUCAUUUCAAACUGCCUCAGCAUUCUGGGAUGUGCAGAAAGGUUUACCCUCUAUAAUAUUGAAUUACAUGAGAAGGCUUUUAUUUUUAGGGCAAAGCAAAUUCAUCCUGGAAAUGGAGGUUGCAUCAGUCUGAUGAGUGCAAGAAGGAGCUUGGGAAUUCGGUGAGAAGAAGGGAGAAUGUGAAACCAGCUUUUGUUAUAGGCAUCUGACUCGAGUUUUUGCUCCUGACUUGAUGAAGAUAGAUGGUACAUAGUUCAAUCUAACAGACGCCUAACAACUCUUUUCAGAUGAUAGAUGGUCCUUUAACUGUACACAAAAUCUUAGAUUUAUUAAUAGAAAUUAACAUUUUUAGGUGCGUAGUUUGUAUCUUUAGUUACUGCCUCUGAUCAUAGUCAGAAAAGUAAAUCAUUAGAAGAAAGAGUUACUGUCUAUCGUGCUUAUCUUCUGCUUUUGUAUAUAAUCACCAUGCACGUGUCUUUGGACUUUGGUUUAUCACAAUGUGGAUCUAUGUUGAUCUUGGCAUGGCAAAAUUCUGAUUCUUGUUAAAUUCAACGUGAUAAAGUCUAGUUUCUCCCUGUGUUUGUAUACAAGUUAUCAUUUAACGU